UGAUCACCCUAUUUAACAUAGCUAGGUAGUGCACUAUGUGGCUGUAAAAGGCAUUGUUUUAUGAUCUUAGUGCACUACAUAUGGAUGAGGGAGCCAUUUGAGAUUCAGCCAUUGGGACGAGUUUGUGACGAGCAGUUUGAAGUUGUGAAUUUAGCUAGAGUAGUUCGACACAGGCCUGCUGCCCUUAUAGUUUUACUGAAGAGAAUGCUGUUCAUGGUGCUUUAUUCAGUGGGGCAGUGCAGACUGUGACCCGCCAGGAGUUAGAAUUUUUAGAAAGUACCACUGGAUAACAAUAUUUCCAAUAUAAAACUGCAAGCAGGAGAGCAGCCCAGUCGCAGCAGCAGAAGAAUGCUAAAAGGGGGCUUCAUCUGACCAAACCUCUCAGACCUGCAUCUCCACACCUGCAGAUUACAGGCAAUAAGACACUUCCAGAUCCUCUGUAGUUUCAGUGAAUUAGUUGAUGGGGUGAAGAUAAAUCCCAGUGGUGGCUAUUGGCCCUCAGGCUAUCCUCCUCAGUGUACUGCCCCGGCUGGCCAGGUGGAAAGAGGUCCAGGAUCCCUCCAGCUCUGCACAGUUUGGUGUUCUCCCUGCUUUGGUAUGCUUAAUAUUGUGGCGAUGGCCGCGGGUCACACUGCCAACCAGCUGGCCUAGCAGAGAGCUGCAUGAAGAGGCUCAGGGAUGCACGCUCCCCUGGUAAAAAAGAAAAAAAAAGGAAUAUUCAGCAACAGUCUACACACACACCACUGAAGAAGUCCACAGAGACCAAACGGCUGCUGAGCCUUUCCAAAAAAGUCAGAAGGAAAAGGCGACAAAGCGAAGAGUAGGCACUGUUGCGAGUGUGGAUCACUGCACUCGGGGCAAAGCAGCUCAUUCUCAGCCUGCUCAAUUUCAACAAGCAAAUGAGUUCUGUACUCCCUCAGCAUCGCUGCCUGGGCUUUUCUGCUCUUCUGAUGCUUAGAGUGAAUAUGAAAUGAAUAAAGCUUUAACAAAAUAAUGAGUA